GACGAACCGUGCAAACGUUAUUCGGAAUCACUGGGCUUAAAGCGCGUGUAGGCGGGACGGCACGUCGGUCGUUGAAAUCCCCCGGCUCAACCGGGGAAGGGGCGCCGAUACGACCGUCCUGGAGGGGCGUAGGGGGACCUGGAACUUCCGGUGGAGCGGUGAAAUGCGUUGAGAUCGGAAGGAACGCCCGUGGCGAAAGCGAGGCCCUGGACGCCUACUGACGCUGAGACGCGAAAGCGUGGGGAGCGAACAGG
rnacentral:rRNA from 1 species